GCGAACGCUGGCGGCGUGCUUAACCCCUGCAAGUCGAACGGAAAGGCCUGCUUUCCCUUGUGGAUUGCGGGUACUCGAGUGGCGAACGGGUGAGUAACACGUGAGUGAUCUGCCCCCAACUUGGGUAUAAGCCUGGGAAACUGGGUCUAAUUCCCGAUAGGACUGCAGGGUGGUGCCUGUGGUGGAAAACGAUUUUCUAGUGGUUGGGGAUGAGCUCGCGGCCUAUCAGCUUGUUGGUGGGGUAAUGGCCUACCAAGGCGGCGACGGGUAGCCGGCCUGAGAGGGUGGACGGCCACAUUGGGACUGAGAUACGGCCCAGACUCCUACGGGAGGCAGCAGUGGGGAAUAUUGCACAAUGGGCGGAAGCCUGAUGCAGCGACGCCGCGUGGGGGAUGACGGCCUUCGGGUUGUAAACUCCUUUCGACCGCGAGGAAGCCACCUGGUUGGAAGGGUGGUGACGGUAGUGGUAGAAGAAGCACCGGCUAACUACGUG
rnacentral:rRNA from 1 species